rnacentral:lncRNA from 1 species
CCAUCCCUCACCCAGCAGCAGGGGGGCACAGAGAGGGAGGUGUUGGUGCCUUUCCCAGCACUUCCCCCUCACUCCAGAAAAUUCCACAUGUGGCCAAUCCCACCUGGAGGGAAAAGCCCCCGAGGUCCAGCCAGAGCUGCCCCAAAUCCUCGUUGGCCACUUGCCCGAAAGCAGAGACCCCUCUCCGCAUUGAGGAGGGGUCCCCUGCCAGCUUGGGGGCUCCUCUCCCCCCAUCUCCCAAAUGGGGUGGGGGUCCCCGAGCCCGUGUGGGAGGGGGAUUCUCCCUCCCCUUCCUGCCUGGCUGGGUUUUGUCUCCAGACCUGGAACGUGCAGGGGGUGGGGAUCAAACCCUCCCCAGCUCGGGCAGGGGGGACCCGGAGCAGCUCCCGCUCCUACAGGGACACCUGCACUCGUUGGCUUUGCUUUUCCUUCUCUUUCUUGGCUGCCAAGCAACUGUUUGGAAACACCAUGCUUGUUUUUAGUGCUUUCUGUUGGAGUUGGCCAGCUCUUCCUGUACAUAUGUUGGUUUUAAUUUUUUUUUCUUAUAUCCUGUUUGGUUUUUUUCUUUGUUUUUUAAAGAGAAGAGAGAAAAAAAAACAAAACAAACAAAAAAAAAGAAAAUUAUUUUUCUUUCCCUCAGUACACAUUCUUCAAAUUAUAGUGUUUGUUAAAUAAAAUGAAAGAUUUACAUUUAAUUGUGUCGGCUUGUUGGGAUUUCUGACCCCAGGGUCUCCCAGGGGGUUCCAAGGAUCUCGCUCAGCAUCCUCAGGAUCUUACCUUGGAAAAUCUUCCCACGGGGCCUCCCCAACCUUCCUGGGGUCACCAGGAGCUUCCCCAGGAUCCCCCCAGCUCCUCAAGAUCUCCCUGGGAUCCCCAGGAACUUGUUGGGGUUCCCCAGGAUCUGCCCCAGGCUCCUGAGAUCUCCGGAGGCUCCCAGGGUCACUCCCAGCUCAGCCCAAAAUGAGACCAGGGGAUUUUCAUGUUUGGCAGGAGGGUCCUGGGGCAAUCCCAGCAUCUCCCUGGACAUCCCAGGAUCUCCCUGGACAUCCCAGGAUCUCCCUGGACAUCCCAGGAUCGCUCCAAACAGAGCCUGGAGGGUUCUGGGGCAACCCCGACCCCCUCCAGGUUCUCCCCCGGGGUUUGGGGAGCAGCCGGACCCCCGAGCACCCCCGGGCCCGUCCCCACGGGCACCUCCUCGGUGCCACUUUGAAUUCCUCCACCUCCAGCGGAUUAAUCAUUUUAUUUAUGAGGCUUAAGGGCCCAAAUCCCGUUAAAGCCGGGGCUUUGCCAGAUAAACAGCCCGCUUUGGGGGCAGCGCGUUUGUGAAAACACAAUUAGCAAACGCUGUAAUCUGCACUAAUUACCGGGCCAUGAGCGCCGGCACUUGCCGGCAGCACCUGCACCAUGGGGGACACGGGGGACACGGCCGCGAGUGGGGACACGGGAGCCGCGCCCCGGCGCCCACCCGGAGCCUCCUUCACCAUCGAGUCCCUCCUGUCGGGGCGGGGGGACGGGGCCGCCCCC